rnacentral:lncRNA from 1 species
CCUCUCUGCUGACUGAAUCAAGGAGGAAUACCUGGAAUGGAGCCUCAUGAUAUACCUCCUUGACUUCCUCUGAUCUGUGUCCAGAUUCUGCCCAGCAUACGGCAACAACUCCAAGAAUCUGUCCAUAUACUCAUCCACGCUCAUCUCAUCUGUCUGCCUUAAUUGCUCAAAUUCAAUCAUUUUCAGCUCCCUGGAACUGUCAGGGAAAGCCCAUCCUGCAAACUCAUUUGCAAAC